rnacentral:rRNA from 1 species
UACGUAGGGGGCAAGCGUUGUCCGGAAUUAUUGGGCGUAAAGCGCGCGCAGGCGGCCUUGUAAGUCUGUUGUUUAAACUUGGGGCUCAACCCCAAGUCGCAAUGGAAACUGCAAAGCUUGAGUGCAGAAGAGGAAAGCGGAAUUCCACGUGUAGCGGUGAAAUGCGUAGAGAUGUGGAGGAACACCAGUGGCGAAGGCGGCUUUCUGGUCUGUAACUGACGCUGAGGCGCGAAAGCUAGGGGAGCGAACGGG